CGCGUAUGCAACCUACCUCAAUCAGGGGGAUAGCCCGAAGAAAUUCGGAUUAACACCGCAUAAAAACACAGUACAGCAUUGUACAAUGUUCAAAUAUUUAUAGGAUUGAGAUGGGCAUGCGUGUCAUUAGCUAGUUGGCGGGGUAACGGCCCACCAAGGCGACGAUGACUAGGGGAUCUGAGAGGAUGACCCCCCACACUGGUACUGAGACACGGACCAGACUCCUACGGGAGGCAGCAGUAAGGAAUAUUGGUCAAUGGAGGGAACUCUGAACCAGCCAUGCCGCGUGCAGGAAGACAGCCCUCUGGGUCGUAAACUGCUUUUAUUCGGGAAUAAACCUACUUACGUGUAAGUAGCUGAAUGUACCGAAGGAAUAAGGAUCGGCUAACUCCGUGCCAGCAGCCGCGGUAAUACGGAGGAUCCAAGCGUUA
rnacentral:rRNA from 1 species